UGGAAUAUGGCGAGAAAACUGAAAAUCAUGGAAAAUGAGAAACAUCCACUUGACGACUUGAAAAAUGACGAAAUCACUGAAAAACGUGAAAAAUGAGAAAUGCACACUGUAGGACCUGGAAUAUGGCAAGAAAACUGAAAAUCACGGAAAAUGAGAAAUACACACUUUAGGAUGUGAAAUAUGGCGAGGAAAACAGAAAAAGGUGGAAAAUUUAGAAAUGUCCACUGUAGGACAUGGAAUAUGGCAAGAAAACUGAAAAUCAUGGAAAAUGAGAAACAUCCACUUGACGACUUGAAAAAUGACGAAAUCACUGAAAAACGUGAAAAAAUGAGAAAUGCACACUGUAGGACCUGGAAUAUGGCGAGAAAACUGAAAAUCACGGAAAAUGAGAAAUACACACUUUAGGACGUGAAAUAUGGCGAGGAAAACUGAAAAAGGUGGAAAAUUUAGAAAUUUCCACUGUAGGACAUGGAAUAUGGCAAGAAAACUGAAAAUCAUGGAAAAUGAGAAACAUCCACUUGACGACUUGAAAAAUGACGAAAUCACUGAAAAACGUGAAAAAUGAGAAAUGCACACUGUAGGACCUGGAAUAUGGCGAGAAAACUGAAAAUCACGGAAAAUGAGAAAUACACACUUUAGGACGUGAAAUAUGGCGAGGAAAACUGAAAAAGGUGGAAAAUUUAGAAAUGUCCACUGUAGGACAUGGAAUAUGGCAAGAAAACUGAAAAUCAAGGAAAAUGAGAAACAUCCACUUGACAACUUGAAAAAUGACAAAAUCACUGAAAAACGUGAAAAAUGAGAAAUGCACACUGUAGGACCUGGAAUAUGGCGAGAAAACUGAAAAUCACUGAAAAUGAGAAAUACACACUUUAGGACAUGAAAUAUGGCGAGGAAAACUGAAAAAGGUGGAAAAUUUAGAAAUG
rnacentral:lncRNA from 1 species